rnacentral:rRNA from 1 species
GGGCGCAAGCCUGAUGCAGCCAUGCCGCGUGUAUGAAGAAGGCCUUCGGGUUGUAAAGCACUUUCAGCGGGGAGGAAGGCGUUAAGGUUAAUAACCUUGGCGAUUGACGUUACCCGCAGAAGAAGCACCGGCUAACUCCGUGCCAGCAGCCGCGGUAAUACGGAGGGUGCAAGCGUUAAUCGGAAUUACUGGGCGUAAAGCGCACGCAGGCGGUCUGUCAAGUCGGAUGUGAAAUCCCCGGGCUCAACCUGGGAACUGCAUUCGAAACUGGCAGGCUAGAGUCUUGUAGAGGGGGGUAGAAUUCCAGGUGUAGCGGUGAAAUGCGUAGAGAUCUGGAGGAAUACC